UUCGUUAAGUCGCUAACGAGCGCAACCUCGUCGUAUGUUAUAUGUGUCAUACGAGACUGCCGGUAAAAAGCCGGAGGAAGGUGAGGAUGAUGUCAAGUCAGCAUGACCUUUAUAUCCAGGGCUACACACACGCUACAAUGGUCUGUACAAUGGUAGCCAAGCCGCGAGGCGGAGCCAAUCCUGAAGCAGGCCUCAGUUCAGAUUGCAGUCUGCAACUCGACUGCAUGAAGCCGGAGUUGCUAGUAACCGCAGGUCAGCAAUACUGCGGUGAAUACGUUCCCGGGUCUU
rnacentral:rRNA from 1 species